rnacentral:rRNA from 1 species
AUGGCCGCCAACGGCCAGCCGGCGGCCGCGGCCGCCACCAUCGACGACCUCCCUGAAAUCCUGCUGCUCGAUAUCUUCCUCCGCCUUCCCUCCCUCUCGGACCUCGUCCGCGCCGCCUGCACCUGCCUGCCCUGGCGCAACCUGGUGACCAACUUCCCCCCCUUCCGCCGUCAAUUCAUCGACCUCCACCCGGCGCCCCUCCUCGGCCUCUUCUUCGACACGCCGUUUCAGGCUGUCCCCGGCAUCCCCGCCUUCGCCCCCGCCCGCCGGAAUGAUCCGGAGCUCGUGGCCGCCAUCUUGAGCGGUGACUUUUUCCUCACCGCCCUCCAGGCGCGCGACGGCCCGGAAGCUAACUGGAGCUUCCUCGACGCCUGUGGCGGCUACCUUCUCCUCAUCAAAGAGGAUGAGGUAUUGCUCCUGCUGCUAAACCCCUUGGCACGGUGGUGCGAGCGGUUCUUUGAUCUGAGUGACUCCCGCAUCUUCGACGACGACGACGACGACCGCGAAGGCGAUCGUCAACUCCUUUACGCCGGCCUGAUCUGCGAUGACGAAAACCCCGCGAGCUUUGGCAUCUUCUGUCUUGCUGCCCAUGGAGAGUUCAGGUUGCGGGCUGCGGUCUUCUUCUCAUUCUUGGGAAUGGGCGGCGAUUGGUUCCUCUCCCCAUGGUUGGAUGUCCCGCACCAUCCCAACCCCCACCCGGAAGGUGACGAAGAUGACGAAGGUGACGAAGAUGACGAUGGUGACGAAGGUGAUCUUGUGCUUGAGAGCGGCAUGCGAGUGGGUAAUUUCAUCUACUGGCUUUAUCAGAAUCGUGCGUAUGUGGUUGUCUUGGACCCCAACCCAAACAACCCGCGAUUGUUUGUUGAGAUGAUCCCCCCUCUCCUCAAUCUGGAAGGUUUUCACAGCUCGAUCCUUGGCCAAAUUAACGGCGAUAAGAUGUGCAUUGCUUAUUCAAAUGGAUUCAACAUCGGUUUCAUGCUGCGUCAAGAAGAUGGCCUUGAUGCUGGGGCAUGGGCUAACAGCAGGGUAUUCAACCUGACUGAUCAAGUUCGACGGAAGCUUGGGUACUUACCCCAGAAUGGGCUGAAAAUUGCGGCAAUGCGGGGUAGCAUAGUGUACUUCACAACAUCACAGAUGUUCCAUCCGCUCGAGGCCACUUGUUGGUUUGCUUGUCUGUGCUUGGAAAGUCGCAGGCUGGAGUGGUUGUUUCCGAGGACGUAUAAUGGUCUCUUCCAACCAUACCACCAUUCAUCGUGGAGUACUUUUCUGUUACCAGAGAAUGAAAGAUUUUAUCCCUUCAUAUGA